UGAAAUAACGCACUAAAGUAAAUAAAAGCAGAGACUACAUCUCGUACCUUUUGCAUCAUGAUCUAGCCAGUAACCUCAAGCAAAGAGACCUCUAGUUUGAACCCCCGAAACCGGACGAGCUACUCCGGGGCAGCCUAUUGUAGGGCCAACCCGUCUCUGUGGCAAAAGAGUGGGAAGACCCCCGAGUAGAGGUGAAAGACCUACCGAGUCAGGUUAUAGCUGGUUGCCCAAGAAAUGAAUAGAAGUUCAGCCCCGCUACGCCCUCACCCACAACAGUUUUACUUAAACAAGGCAUAAAGGACACCCGCGGGAGUUAGUCAAGGGAGGUACAGCUCCCUUAACAAAGGACACAACCUUAAACAGGAGGCUAAGGAAUAUAUUAAACUAAGGCCCUAGGUUUCAGUGGGCCUAAAAGCAGCCACCUGAACAGAAAGCGUUAAAGCUCAGACCAAUCCAAGCCUAUUAUAACAUUAAAAUCUCCAAAGCCCCUAGUAUUACUGGGCCAUCCUAUGCCCCCAUAGGAGGGACCAUGCUAGAACGAGUAAUAAGAAGAAAGACCUUCUCCCAGCACGUGUGUAAGUCGAAUCGGACACCCCAUCGACAAUUAACGAACCCAACAAAAGAGGGCAAUGCCCGACCGCCGCCCCAGGCCAAGAAAACCAGGCAAUAGAACAUCGUUACCCCCACACAGGAGUGCUUAAACCAAGGGAAAGACUUAAAGGAUAAAAAGGAACUCGGCAAACCAAAACCCCGCCUGUUUACCAAAAACAUCGCCUCCUGCCACCACUAAUUAUAGGAGGUCCCGCCUGCCCUGUGAUCGAAAGUUUUAACGGCCGCGGUAUUUUAACCGUGCAAAGGUAGCGCAAUCAAUUGUCUUUUAAAUGGAGACCUGUAUGAAUGGCAUAACGAGGGUUUAACUGUCUCUUUUUCCCGGUCAAUGAAACUGAUCUACCCGUGCAGAAGCGGGUAUAUACACACAAGACGAGAAGACCCUAUGGAGCUUUAGACGUCAACCAACCACGAAAAGCGGCCACUGACUGGACCCUCAAACAACGUGAUUAUGGCACAAGCGUCUUCGGUUGGGGCGACCACGGGAGAUAACAAAGCUCCCGAGUGGAUAGGGGGACACCCUAAAACCCAGAGCCACAGCUCUAAGUCACAAAACAUUUGACCAAUAAUGAUCCGGCUUUAUGCCGACCAACGAACCAAGUUACCCUAGGGAUAACAGCGCAAUCCCCUCCCAGAGUCCAUAUCGACGAGGGGGUUUACGACCUCGAUGUUGGAUCAGGACAUCCUAAUGGUGCAGCCGCUAUUAA
rnacentral:rRNA from 1 species